rnacentral:rRNA from 1 species
GACGAACGCUGGCGGCGUGCUUAACACAUGCAAGUCGAACGGAAAGGCCCUGCUUUUGUGGGGUGCUCGAGUGGCGAACGGGUGAGUAACACGUGAGUAACCUGCCCUUGACUUUGGGAUAACUUCAGGAAACUGGGGCUAAUACCGGAUAGGAGCUCCUGCUGCAUGGUGGGGGUUGGAAAGUCUCGGCGGUUGGGGAUGGACUCGCGGCUUAUCAGCUUGUUGGUGGGGUAGUGGCUUACCAAGGCUUUGACGGGUAGCCGGCCUGAGAGGGUGACCGGCCACAUUGGGACUGAGAUACGGCCCAGUCUCCUACGGGAGGCAGCAGUGGGGAAUAUUGCACAAUGGGCGGAAGCCUGAUGCAGCAACGCCGCGUGCGGGAUGACGGCCUUCGGGUUGUAAACCGCUUUCGCCUGUGACGAAGCGUGAGUGACGGUAAUGGGUAAAGAAGCACCGGCUAACUACGUG